rnacentral:rRNA from 1 species
CGCCAGACUCCUACGGGAGGCAGCAGUGGGGAAUAUUGCACAAUGGGGGAAACCCUGAUGCAGCGACGCCGCGUGAGCGAUGAAGUAUUUCGGUAUGUAAAGCUCUAUCAGCAGGGAAGAAAAUGACGGUACCUGACUAAGAAGCCCCGGCUAACUACGUGCCAGCAGCCGCGGUAAUACGUAGGGGGCAAGCGUUAUCCGGAUUUACUGGGUGUAAAGGGAGCGUAGACGGCUGUGCAAGCCAGAUGUGAAAGCCCGGGGCUCAACCCCGGGACUGCAUUUGGAACUGUGUGACUGGAGUGUCGGAGAGGCAGGCGGAAUUCCUAGUGUAGCGGUGAAAUGCGUAGAUAUUAGGAGGAACACCAGUGGCGAAGGCGGCCUGCUGGACGAUGACUGACGUUGAGGCUCGAAAGCGUGGGGAGCAAACAGGAUUAGAUACCCCGGUAU